rnacentral:rRNA from 1 species
CCAGACUCCUACGGGAGGCAGCAGUGGGGAAUAUUGCACAAUGGGGGGAACCCUGAUGCAGCGACGCCGCGUGAGUGAAGAAGUAUUUCGGUAUGUAAAGCUCUAUCAGCAGGGAAGAAAAUGACGGUACCUGACUAAGAAGCCCCGGCUGACUACGUGCCAGCAGCCGCGGUAAUACGUAGGGGGCAAGCGUUAUCCGGAUUUACUGGGUGUAAAGGGAGCGUAGACGGCAGAGCAAGUCUGAAGUGAAAGCCCGCGGCCCAACCCCGGGACUGCCCUUGGAACUGCAUGGCUGGAGUGCGGGAGGGGCAGGCGGAAUUCCUGGUGUAGCGGUGAAAUGCGUAGAUAUCAGGAGGAACACCGGCGGCGAAGGCGGCCUGCUGGACCGCGACUGACGUUGAGGCUCGAAAGCGUGGGGAGCGAACAGGAUUAGAUACCCUCGUACC